GAUGAACGCUAGCUACAGGCUUAACACAUGCAAGUCGAGGGGCAGCGCAGUGUAGCAAUACAUGGGCGGCGACCGGCGCACGGGUGCGUAACGCGUAUCCAACCUUCCCGUUACUCAGGGAUAGCCUUCCGAAAGGGAGAUUAAUACCUGAUGGUGUUCAAAUUCCGCAUGUUAUUUGAACUAAAGAUUUAUCGGUAACGGAUGGGGAUGCGUGACAUUAGGUAGAUGGCGGGGUAACGGCCCACCAUGCCUACGAUGUCUAGGGGUUCUGAGAGGAAGGUCCCCCACACUGGAACUGAGACACGGUCCAGACUCCUACGGGAGGCAGCAGUGAGGAAUAUUGGUCAAUGGCCGGAAGGCUGAACCAGCCAAGUAGCGUGAAGGAUGAAGGUUCUAUGGAUUGUAAACUUCUUUUAUACGGGAAUAAACCGCCUACGUGUAGGUGCUUGUAUGUACCGUAUGAAUAAGCAUCGGCUAACUCCGUG
rnacentral:rRNA from 1 species